GUGCUCUCUCAGCAGGUGUCUGAAGGCCAGGAUGGUCUCCCCAUGGCAGCUCCUCUGGCUGCUGGUGCUCUGGGCUCAGGAUUCCCAAGGAGACAUUGUGCUGACCCAGUCUCCAGCCUCCUUGUCUGGAUCUCCAGGAGACAAAGUCAGUCUCAGCUGCAAGGCCAGUCAGAGUGUAACAGAUACUAUUGGUAUUAGCUACCUUCAUUGGUACCAGCAGAAACCUGGUCAAGCUCCCAGACUCCUCAUCUCCUAUGCCUCCAGCCUGGCACCUGGAGUGCCUGCCCGGUUCAGCGGCAAUGGUUCUAAGACAGAUUUCACCCUCACCAUCAGCAGCUUGGAGCCUGAGGAUGCUGGAGAUUAUUACUGUCAGAAGUAUGAUAACUACCCUUUCCCACAGUGCCUCAGCCCAGAACAAAAACCUACCCAGGCUAUUUAG